rnacentral:lncRNA from 10 species
AGCGGCAGCAACCUGCGUGGGUCCCUCACCUUGUGGGAGCUUUGUUCUUUUGCUCUUCACAAUAAAUCUCCUUGCUGCUCACUCUUUGUGUCAGUGUCAUCUUUAAGAGCUGUAACACUCACCAGGAAGGAUCUGCUUCGCUCUCUGCGCCUCUUGUUGCCCGUCUGUAAAAUGAGGCUGAAAUGGCAGGUGGAGUGGAACUGUGAAGCGCCUUUCCGGUGGCUGGAGGUGCCCUGGUGAAGUCUCCCGGUCCUGGGCUGUUCCAGUCAGAGGCAGACAGGGCCUGGCUGAGAAGUUGGACGGACUAGCGAAGAUCCGGACUGCUCGGGAAGCUCCAUCCGAAUGUGUCUGCCCCCCAGAGUGUGCAGGUUUACAUAUGCUGUUCGGUUGGUGAUGGAAACACUUACGGCCACUGAUAAAGCAAUAAAUGAAAGGAAAUGACAGGAAAGCACCAUCCUCGAGCUUCCAUGGACACAGAGAUGAAGAUUUCCAUCUGUGGCUAGACAGGCGCAGAGCUUUGGAGGUGCUCCUGGCCCGUCGGUUCCCAGUGACGUGUCUUCAACUCCAG